rnacentral:rRNA from 1 species
UACGGGGGGGGGCAAGCGUUGUCCGGAAUUAUUGGGCGUAAAGCGCGCGCAGGCGGUCCUUUAAGUCUGAUGUGAAAGCCCACGGCUCAACCGUGGAGGGUCAUUGGAAACUGGGGGACUUGAGUGCAGGAGAGAAGAGUGGAAUUCCACGUGUAGCGGUGAAAUGCGUAGAGAUGUGGAGGACACCAGUGGCGAAGGCGGCUCACUGGACCGGAACUGACGCUGAGGCGCGAAAGCGUGGGGAGCAAACAGG